ACGGGUGAGUAACACGUGGGUAACCUGCCCAUAAGACUGGGAUAACUCCGGGAAACCGGGGCUAAUACCGGAUAACAUUUUGAACCGCAUGGUUCGAAAUUGAAAGGCGGCUUCGGCUGUCACUUAUGGAUGGACCCGCGUCGCAUUAGCUAGUUGGUGAGGUAACGGCUCACCAAGGCAACGAUGCGUAGCCGACCUGAGAGGGUGAUCGGCCACACUGGGACUGAGACACGGCCCAGACUCCUACGGGAGGCAGCAGUAGGGAAUCUUCCGCAAUGGACGAAAGUCUGACGGAGCAACGCCGCGUGAGUGAUGAAGGCUUUCGGGUCGUAAAACUCUGUUGUUAGGGAAGAACAAGUGCUAGUUGAAUAAGCUGGCACCUUGACGGUACCUAACCAGAAAGCCACGGCUAACUACGUGCCAGCAGCCGCGGUAAUACGUAGGUGGCAAGCGUUAUCCGGAAUUAUUGGGCGUAAAGCGCGCGCAGGUGGUUUCUUAAGUCUGAUGUGAAAGCCCACGGCUCAACCGUGGAGGGUCAUUGGAAACUGGGAGACUUGAGUGCAGAAGAGGAAAGUGGAAUUCCAUGUGUAGCGGUGAAAUGCGUAGAGAUAUGGAGGAACACCAGUGGCGAAGGCGACUUUCUGGUCUGUAGCUGACGC
rnacentral:rRNA from 1 species